rnacentral:rRNA from 1 species
UACGUAGGGUGCGAGCGUUAAUCGGAAUUACUGGGCGUAAAGCGUGCGCAGGCGGUCCGCUGUGUCCGAUGUGAAAGCCCCGGGCUUAACCUGGGAAUGGCAUUGGAAACUGGCGGGCUUGAGUGCGGCAGAGGGGGGUGGAAUUCCGCGUGUAGCAGUGAAAUGCGUAGAGAUGCGGAGGAACACCGAUGGCGAAGGCAGCCCCCUGGGUCGACACUGACGCUCAGGCACGAAAGCGUGGGGAGCAAACAGG